GGGCCCGCACAAGCGGUGGAGCAUGUGGUUUAAUUCGAUGGUACGCGAGGAACCUUACCUAGGCUUAAAUGUAGAUUGACGUAUUGGGAAACCAGUAUUUCUUCGGACAAUUUACAAGGUGCUGCAUGGUUGUCGUCAGCUCGUGCUGUGAAGUGUCGGGUUAAGUCCCAUAACGAGCGCAACCCCUAUCAUUAGUUGCUAACAUUUAGUUGGGGCACUCUAUGGAAACUGCCCGUGAUAAGCGGGAGGAAGGUGUGGAUGACGUCAAGUCCUCAUGGCCCUUACGGGUUGGGCUACACACGUGCUACAAUGGUAGUGACAAUGGGUUAAUCCCAAAAAUGCUAUCUCA
rnacentral:rRNA from 1 species